ACGGGGCCCGCACAAGCGGUGAUCAUGUGUUAAUUCGAUGAUACGCGAAGAACCUUACCAGGUCUUGACAUCCCAUGCAAAGCUAUAGAGAUAUAGUGGAGGUUACCAUGGAGACAGGUGGUGCAUGGUUGUCGUCAGCUCGUGUCGUGAGAUGUUGGGUUAAGUCCCGCAACGAGCGCAACCCUUAUUGCUAGUUACCAUCAUUAAGUUGGGGACUCUAGCGAGACUGCCAGUGAUAAACUGGAGGAAGGUGGGGAUGACGUCAAAUCAUCAUGCCCCUUAUGACCUGGGCUACAAACGUGAUACAAUGGCUGAAACAAAGGGCAGCGAAGCAGUGAUGUGAAGCGAAACCCAAAAAAGCAGUCUCAGUUCGGAUUGAAGUCUGCAACUCGACUUCAUGAAGUCGGAAUCGCUAGUAAUCGCGAAUCAGAACGUCGCGGUGAAUACGUUCUCGGGGUUU
rnacentral:rRNA from 1 species